rnacentral:lncRNA from 1 species
UAUAAAUACUGUUAUUCAUUACUAGUCUGCUAUCUGAGCUAUUUGUGUUACUGUACCUGCAGGGACAAAAAGGAGAGCCUGGAGUGGUGCCAGUUGUUACAGGAAUACGAGGCCGCACAGGACCAUCAGGACCUCCAGGCUCACAAGGACCAAGAGGAGAACGAGGACCUAAGGGGAGACCUGUAAGUUGCUAAAUGCUGUUCCUAGAAGCUCACUUAAUCAGUAUUCAAAUGCCGGGCUGACCUCAAAG